AGCAGCCGCGGUAAUUCCAGCUCCAAUAGCGUAUAUUAAAGUUGUUGCAGUUAAAAAGCUCGUAGUUGAAUUUCGGGAUCAAUACGUCGGUCGUGCUUCGGUACGUACUGGCGUCAUUGGUUUCUCCCUUCUGACGAACCAUGAUGUCAUUUAUUUGGUGUCGUGGGAAAUCAGGACUGUUACUUUGAAAAAAUUGAGUGUUUAAAGCAGGCUCGCGCUUGAAUACAUUAGCAUGGAAUAAUGAAAUAGGACGUUUGAUUCUAUUUUGUUGGUUUCUAGGAUCGAUGUAAUGAUUAAUAGGGAUAGUUGGGGGCAUUAGUAUUCAAUUGUCAGAGGUGAAAUUCUUGGAUUUAUUGAAGACUAACUACUGCGAAAGCAUUUGCCAAGGAUGUUUUCAUUAAUCA
rnacentral:rRNA from 1 species